rnacentral:rRNA from 1 species
AAUGAACGCUGGCGGCAUGCCUAACACAUGCAAGUCGAACGAGACCUUCGGGUCUAGUGGCGCACGGGUGCGUAACGCGUGGGAAUCUGCCCUUGGGUUCGGAAUAACAGUUAGAAAUGACUGCUAAUACCGAAUGAUGUCGUAAGACCAAAGAUUUAUCGCCCAGGGAUGAGCCCGCGUAGGAUUAGCUAGUUGGUGUGGUAAAAGCGCACCAAGGCGACGAUCCUUAGCNGGUCUGAGAGGAUGAUCAGCCACACUGGGACUGAGACACGGCCCAGACUCCUACGGGAGGCAGCAGUGGGGAAUAUUGCGCAAUGGACGAAGGUCUGACGCAGCGACGCCGCGUGUGGGAUGACGGUCUUCGGAUUGUAAACCACUGUCGGGAGGGACGAAUACGCCGCAAGGCGGGUGACGGGUACCUCCAAAGGAAGCACCGGCUAACUCCGUGCCAACAGCAGCCG